ensembl:lncRNA
UAAUACCAUUAUGUUUCUCUCUUCUUUGCAGGGGUACACCACUACAAAAGUCAUGGACACAGAGUUACAGUGUUAAACUUUAUUGGACAGUAAUGUGGCUGAUAUAACAGAGGAGGGUAGGGGUUGCUUUGUGCCGCUGCUCUGGUCCUGCCUCUGUCCUUCUGUCCUUUUAGUAGCACUAAUCCCUUUUUAAAUCCGUUGUGGUCGACGCCAGGAAAAACCCAGUAUGGAUUUUCCAGAAAACAACCCGGACCACUGAUCCGUCCAAAAUGGAGCAACUGUGGUACUGGUACUGAAUUUGCUUAUUAAAAGCGUUACAUACAUCACAAAAUGUACUUUUUGGGAUGGACAUGGCAAAUCAAUGAGCUCCUAUUGUGCAGUGAUUAUAGUGACUGCAUCAGUGGCUUUUACAUCUAAUGCCCUUACUAAGGCAACCAAUUUAUUCUGGCUUGGGAUCGAAGCCUGUUGCAGAUGCUUAGUGGCUGAAUUAAACCGUUACAGCUCUCUUAAUAUUGGUCCUAUUCCUCCUACCACAAUUUAUCUGCCUCCUAUUGUGCACUGUUUUGCAUAGCGUUUAAUGCUGGUGGAGAACCUAGUGACCCCCAGUCAAACUUUGUCCAAACAUAGUCAAUAAUAAGCUGAACAAUAAAUAAGGAUAACAAAUUAUUAUCUUUGCUUCUUCAAGUAUCAUGUGCAUGUAAAAGUAUUCAGUAAAGGCAAAAUAAAACGGAAUACAUUACACUCACUGUAAAAUAGUAUCAGCAGAAAUCUAUGGGAAAGCUGCUCAGUUUAUCCAGGUUUAGGACCAGCUCUGAAAGUCCGAUAGCUCAAAGUUACAGUUCAGUGUUUGAAUGAAGUACAACAGGCUCUUUGGAGAAACUGCAUUGUUGGGAAGCACACCCCCGGCUUCUGAGGAAUCCGGACAGCUGCGGCACCCCGCUGACAAAACGCUCACGUGGGUGUGAAGUGUCCAACAAACAUGGCUCAGAACGCUGCUCCUGUCCUCCAAGACUUUAUAGACUGUGAAACAUUUUUUAUUAACAUUAUGUAAUAUGUUUUUUAAUUUAAUGAUAUGCUGUGAAUGUGAAUCCCUCUGGUGUAUGAAGUGUUGUGGAGGGGUCUCCCAGCAUCAAUGCAUUCAACUUUAGAAGUUGGUUCAGUAAUGGUUUGGAAACCCAAUGUGUUUCUCUUGAAAUAUAUAAUGAAAUAACUUUUAGACUAUUUAAACUGACUUUAAUAAAUGAGUUGGCAACAAAAUA